UACGGGGGGGGCAAGCGUUGUUCGGAAUUACUGGGCGUAAAGGGCUCGUAGGCGGCCAUCUAAGUCGGACGUGAAAUCCCUCGGCUUAACCUGGGAACUGCGUUUGAAACUACAAGGCUAGAGUGUGGCAGAGGGGGGUGGAAUUCCACGUGUAGCAGUGAAAUGCGUAGAGAUGUGGAGGAACACCGAUGGCGAAGGCAGCCCCCUGGGUUAACACUGACGCUCAGGCACGAAAGCGUGGGGAGCAAACAGG
rnacentral:rRNA from 1 species